rnacentral:rRNA from 1 species
GACGAACGCUGGCGGCGUGCUUAACACAUGCAAGUCGAACGGAAAGGCCCUGCUUGCAGGGUACUCGAGUGGCGAACGGGUGAGUAACACGUGGGUGAUCUGCCCUGCACUUCGGGUUAAGCCUGGGCAACUGGGUCUAAUACCGGACAGGUGCCAUUUUUAGUGUGAUGGUUGGAAAGUUUUUUUCGGUGUUGGUUUAGCUCGCGGCGUAUCGGCUUGUUGGUGGGGUAAUGGCCUACCAAAGCGGCUACGGGUAGCCGGCCUGUGAGAGUGGACGGCGACAUUGGGACCUAGGUGCGGCACAGGCUCCGAAGCGAGGCCGCAGUGGGGAAUCUUGCACAAUGGGCGCCAGCCUGAUGCAGCGGCGCUGCGUGUGGGAUGACGGCCUUCGGGUUGUAAACUCCUUUCGCAAGGGACGAAGCUUUUUGUGACGGUACCUAGAUAAGAAGCACCGGCUAACUACGUG